rnacentral:rRNA from 1 species
UACAGAGGUCUCAAGCGUUGUUCGGAUUCAUUGGGCGUAAAGGGUGCGUAGGCGGCGCGGUAAGUCGGGUGUGAAAUCUCGGAGCUUAACUCCGAAACUGCAUUCGAUACUGCCGUGCUUGAGGACUGGAGAGGAGACGUGGAAUUUACGGUGUAGCGGUGAAAUGCGUAGAUAUCGUAAGGAAGACCAGUGGCGAAGGCGGGUCUCGUGGACAGUUCCUGACGC